UACGGAGGGGGCUAGCGUUGUUCGGAAUUACUGGGCGUAAAGCGCACGUAGGCGGCUUUGUAAGUUAGAGGUGAAAGCCCGGGGCUCAACUCCGGAAUUGCCUUUAAGACUGCAUCGCUAGAAUUGUGGAGAGGUAAGUGGAAUUCCGAGUGUAGAGGUGAAAUUCGUAGAUAUUCGGAAGAACACCAGUGGCGAAGGCGGCACUCUGGGCCGGAACUGACGCUGAGGAGCGAAAGCGUGGGGAGCAAACAGG
rnacentral:rRNA from 1 species